rnacentral:rRNA from 1 species
UGCGGUAUCCUGACCGUGCUAAGGUAGCAUAAUAAUUUGCCCAUUAAUUGUGGGCUAGAAUGAAUGGAAAAACGAAGUAGUAGCUGUCUCUAGUAAUACAAUAAAAACUAAUAUUCCAGUGAAGAAGCUGAAAUAAAAUCACAGGACAAGAAGACCCUAUAGAGCUUUAUUUUUAAUGUAUAGAAAUACAGAAAAAUUCAGUUGGGGCGACUAAGGAAAAAUCAUCCUAAAUAAUAAAGACAGACAAGUCAAAUCAAAGAUCCUAAUAAAUAGAUCAAAGAAACAAGCUACCUUAGGGAUAACAGGCUAAUCCCCCUGGAAAGUUCAAAUUUAUAGGGGGGUUUGGCACCUCGAUGUUGGCUUAGGAAGC